AGCAUACUGGGAGAUCUGAGCCGUGACGACACCUUGACAAAGCUGCAGGAUCUGCGCAUCCGUCAGUCCCGGACCCUGUACGCAGUCUCCUCGAGGGCCUUCAUCUCCUCUUGGACCAGGCAGACCAGGAGGUCCAAUAGGACCAGCAAGUCCAUCACGGCCAAAUCGGCCCUUCACCCCAUGCUACAACACAUUAGUUCGCCCCCUCAGACCACGAUCCCCUUUCAUACCCUGAAGAAAAAGAGAAGCGGUAAGAUGGAAUUUUAUGAACUUUUUGCAAUGUUUUGAAUUGAAGAUGUGUUUGGACUGUGAGGGAAACUGGAGCACCCGGAGGAAACCCACACCAACACGGGGAGAACAUGUAAACUCCACACAGAAACGCCAACUGACCCAGCCGAGGCUCGAACCAGUGACCUUUUUGCUGUAACUUGACAGCGCAACCCACUGCGCCACCACACCACCAAGUAUUAUUCAAUAUGUUUAAUUUUUUCUCCACUGGCCACUUUAUUAGGUACACUUUAAUCGAUUGAACCCUUUUUAUCUUUAGAACUUCUUAAUUGUGAGGCAUUUUAACAAUCUGCUGGAGAUUUUGUUCUAUAUUGACAUAUUUCAGAUUCAUCAGCUGUGUUCUGUUUAAUUGAGCUAUAGCUCAUCAAGUUUAACAACAUUAUUAAUCCCACCAGGGGCAAUUAUAGGGCAGUAGCAUCAUGAUACAACAAACACAUACAGAGGCAGAUCCCUUACAAACAAACAAUAUUUAAAAGCACAAUCCAGCAUGCUUCAUAAUAACUUCAUCAAUAUAAUAAUACUACAAAAAAAGGCAACAAUACAAAAAAGGCUUCAGAGGAUGGGAAUCAUCUCCUAUCACACUUUGAACUUUCCCUAUCAUUUGCUGUUCAAGUAAUUCUGCUAGACUCCGCAGAGGAAAACCAAUAAUCUUAGAGCAAGUUUUGACUAAGCUUUAAAGGCGAUUUUUGUCUCUAAGGAAAAGUGAGGAGAACCAGCAUGAAAAGGAAAAGCUUAAUAUACUCUUAAUAUAGGUAGUAUAAAAAGUUCUCAGUAUAUUUUUUUCUACACAGAAAGAGUUCAGUUUGCUAAGAACAUACAUUCUCUGAUGCACUUUCUUAGUUACAGCUUCUGAGUUCUGCUGGGACUUUAAUGUGGUAAUGGAUCAAACUUCAAUGUUUGAUUUGCCUUCCUCUUUUUCAUACUUCAGUUGUUUUGUUUUUUCAUUAUAAUCACUUUUCCAUCAACUGGAACCAUGCGGUCAUCCUUUUAUCUCUGGCUAGGCAUGGGUUCGUAUAAGUUUCUGGCGGUAUGAUAACCUUGGACAAAAAUAUCACAGUAUUGUGAUAAAUGCUCUAAAAUAAGUUCUUAAAUGUCUGCGUAAAAAAAAAAAACUUGAACACAAUAUAUUUUAUUUUAGGAAAGAUUUAAAAUAUAAAAUAUUUUGGAGCAGUAAACAUGUCAGGCUAAAUAAUUAAAAUAAAUCAUUGACUUCUGCUGUCUUCAUUAGUUUCAAAACCACAGAUUUCUUUACAACACAUAAAAAAACCUUACAUAUACAGUACCUUAGGAACGGUAUUGCAAAUAAACCUGAAACCUUAGAUUUUACAAACCGCUGUAAACCUUGAACCCGGUUAUCAACCCAUGCCUCUGGCAUCAACAAGGCAUUUUCACCCACAGAACUGUCACAAAUUUUAGAUUUUAUAUGUUUUGAACCAUUCACUUUAAGAGAUAGUUCACCUAAAAAUGUUAUUCAUUCACUGUUUACUCACCCUCAAGUGUUUUUUUUUUUUUGUUGAACACAAACAAAGAUAUUUUGAAGAA